rnacentral:rRNA from 1 species
ACGAACGCUGGCGGCGUGCUUAACACAUGCAAGUCGAACGGAAAGGCCCUGCUUUUGUGGGGUGCUCGAGUGGCGAACGGGUGAGUAACACGUGAGUAACCUGCCCUUGACUUUGGGAUAACUUCAGGAAACUGGGGCUAAUACCGGAUAGGAGCUCCUGCUGCAUGGUGGGGGUUGGAAAGUUUCGGCGGUUGGGGAUGGACUCGCGGCUUAUCAGCUUGUUGGUGGGGUAGUGGCUUACCAAGGCUUUGACGGGUAGCCGGCCUGAGAGGGUGACCGGCCACAUUGGGACUGAGAUACGGCCCAGACUCCUACGGGAGGCAGCAGUGGGGAAUAUUGCACAAUGGGCGGAAGCCUGAUGCAGCAACGCCGCGUGCGGGAUGACGGCCUUCGGGUUGUAAACCGCUUUCGCCUGUGACGAAGCGUGAGUGACGGUAAUGGGUAGAGAAGCACCGGCUAACUACGUG